GACGAACGCUGGCGGCGUGCUUAACACAUGCAAGUCGAGCGGUAAGGCCCUUUCGGGGGUACACGAGCGGCGAACGGGUGAGUAACACGUGGGUGACCUGCCCUCAGCUCUGGGAUAAGCCUGGGAAACCGGGUCUAAUACUGGAUAUGACUCCAUGACGCAUGUUGUGGGGUGGAAAGCCUUGUGCGGCUGAGGAUGGGCCCGCGGCCUAUCAGCUUGUUGGUGGGGUGAUGGCCUACCAAGGCGACGACGGGUAGCCGGCCUGAGAGGGCGACCGGCCACACUGGGACUGAGACACGGCCAGACUCCUACGGGAGGCAGCAGGUGGGGAAUCUUGCGCAAGUGGGCGAAAGCCUGACGCAGCGACGCCGCGUGAGGGAUGACGGCCU
rnacentral:rRNA from 1 species